rnacentral:rRNA from 1 species
GACGAACGCUGGCGGCGUGCUUAACACAUGCAAGUCGAACGGAAAGGCCCUGGUUUGGUGGGGUGCUCGAGUGGCGAACGGGUGAGUAACACGUGGGUAACCUGCCCUUCACUUUGGGAUAAGCUCAGGAAACUGGGGCUAAUACCGGAUAGGAUCUCCCGCUGCUUGGUGGGGGGGGGAGUGUUUCGGUGGUUGGUGAUGGACUGGCCUCUCAUCAGCUUGUUGGUGGGGUAGUGGCCUACCAAGGCUUGGACGGGUAGCCGGCCUGAGAGGGUGAACGGCCACAUUGGGACUGAGACACGGCCCAGACUCCUACGGGAGGCAGCAGUGGGGAAUAUUGCACAAUGGGCGGAAGCCUGAUGCAGCAACGCCGCGUGCGGGAUGACGGCCUUCGGGUUGUAAACCGCUUUCGCCUGGGACGAAGCGUGUGUGACGGUACCUGGUAAAGAAGCACCGGCUAACUACGUG